GCCCGGCUAGCUCAGUCGGUAGGGCAUGAGACUCUUAUUCUCAGGGCGUGGGUGGAAGCCGCACGUUGGUCC
rnacentral:tRNA from 1 species